UACGUAGGGGGCAAGCGUUGUCCGGAUUUAUUGGGCGUAAAGAGCGUGUAGGCGGCUUGGUAGGUCCGCUGUGAAAACUCGAGGCUCAACCUCGAGAUGUCGGCGGAAACCACUUGGCUAGAGUCCGGAAGAGGAGAGUGGAAUUCCUGGUGUAGCGGUGAAAUGCGCAGAUAUCAGGAAGAACACCAGUGGCGAAGGCGGCUCACUGGUCCGGUACUGACGCUGAUGUGCGAAAGCGUGGGGAGCAAACAGG
rnacentral:rRNA from 1 species